rnacentral:misc_RNA from 2 species
CCGAGUUUACACUCCCAAACCCCUGUGAACCUUACCUUUACUGUUGCCUCGGCGGGCACGGCCGCGGACGCCCCCUCGCGGGGGCACCGGGGCCGGGCGCCCGCCGGAGGACCCAAACCCUUCUGUAUUUUUCUUACGCAUGUCUGAGUGGAUUUAAUAUCAAAUGAAUCA